UUCCUACGGGGCGCAGCAGUGGGGAAUAUUGGGCAAUGGGCGCAAGCCUGACCCAGCAACGCCGCGUGAAGGAAGAAGGCUUUCGGGUUGUAAACCUCUUUUCUCAGGGACGAAGAAAGUGACGGUACCUGAGGAAUAAGCCACGGCUAACUACGUGCCAGCAGCCGCGGUAAUACGUAGGGGGCUAGCGUUAUCCGGAAUUACUGGGCGUAAAGGGUGCGUAGGUGGUUUCUUAAGUCAGAGGUGAAAGGCUACGGCUCAACCGUAGUAAGCCUUUGAAACUGGGAAACUUGAGUGCAGGAGAG
rnacentral:rRNA from 1 species